CAGCUUGCUGGGUGGAUCAGUGGCGAACGGGUGAGUAACACGUGAGCAAUCUGCCCCUGACUCUGGGAUAAGCGCUGGAAACGGCGUCUAAUACUGGAUACGAACCGUGGAGGCAUCUUCAACGGUUGGAAAGAUUUUUUGGUCAGGGAUGAGCUCGCGGCCUAUCAGCUUGUUGGUGAGGUAAUGGCUCACCAAGGCGUCGACGGGUAGCCGGCCUGAGAGGGUGACCGGCCACACUGGGACUGAGACACGGCCCAGACUCCUACGGGAGGCAGCAGUGGGGAAUAUUGCACAAUGGGCGAAAGCCUGAUGCAGCAACGCCGCGUGAGGGAUGACGGCCUUCGGGUUGUAAACCUCUUUUAGCAGGGAAGAAGCGAAAGUGACGGUACCUGCAGAAAAAGCGCCGGCUAACUACGUGCCAGCAGCCGCGGUAAUACGUAGGGCGCAAGCGUUAUCCGGAAUUAUUGGGCGUAAAGAGCUCGUAGGCGGUUUGUCGCGUCUGCUGUGAAAUCCCGAGGCUCAACUUCGGGUCUGCAGUGGGUACGGGCAGACUAGAGUGCGGUAGGGGAGAUUGGAAUUCCUGGUGUAGCGGUGGAAUGCGCAGAUAUCAGGAGGAACACCGAUGGCGAAGGCAGAUCUCUGGGCCGUAACUGACGCUGAGGAGCGAAAGGGUGGGGAGCAAACAGGCUUAGAUACCCUGGUAGUCCACCCCGUAAACGUUGGGAACUAGUUGUGGGGUCCAUUCCACGGAUUCCGUGACGCAGCUAACGCAUUAAGUUCCCCGCCUGGGGAGUACGGCCGCAAGGCUAAAACUCAAAGGAAUUGACGGGGACCCGCACAAGCGGCGGAGCAUGCGGAUUAAUUCGAUGCAACGCGAAGAACCUUACCAAGGCUUGACAUAUACGAGAACGCUGCAGAAAUGUAGAACUCUUUGGACACUCGUAAACAGGUGGUGCAUGGUUGUCGUCAGCUCGUGUCGUGAGAUGUUGGGUUAAGUCCCGCAACGAGCGCAACCCUCGUUCUAUGUUGCCAGCACGUAAUGGUGGGAACUCAUGGGAUACUGCCGGGGUCAACUCGGAGGAAGGUGGGGAUGACGUCAAAUCAUCAUGCCCCUUAUGUCUUGGGCUUCACGCAUGCUACAAUGGCCGGUACAAAGGGCUGCAAUACCGUGAGGUGGAGCGAAUCCCAAAAAGCCGGUCCCAGUUCGGAUUGAGGUCUGCAACUCGACCUCAUGAAGUCGGAGUCGCUAGUAAUCGCAGAUCAGCAACGCUGCGGUGAAUACGUUCCCGGGUCUUGUACACACCGCCCGUCAAGUCAUGAAAGUCGGUAACACCUG
rnacentral:rRNA from 1 species